CUACUCAAUAAAAUUGAGAAAGGAAAUGGUGAAUAUGUCAAAGCGACAACCACCCGACCAUAGAGCAAACAACAGCCGAAGGCAACCAAUGGGUCUUCAAUGUAGCGAGGAUUCCCGCACCCGUAGGUGUCCUUCAGCUGGCCCCUAAAAUAUGCAUAAUAGUACAGUGAUAAUGGACGUCAUACUAAACUCCGAAUUAUACACAAGAAACUAAAAUUUAAAAUCAUACAAGACUAACAAAGGCCAGAGGCUCCUGACUUGGGACAGGCGCAAAAUUGCGGCGGGGUUAAACAUGUUUAUGAGAUCUCAACCCUCCCCCUAUACCUCUAGCCAAUGUAGAAAAGUAAAAGAAUAACAAUACGCACAUUAAAAUUCAGUUCAAGAGAAGUCCGAGUCUGAUGUCAAAAGAUGUAACAAAAGAAAAUAAAUAAAAUGACAAUAAUACAUAAAUAACAACAGACUACUAGCAGUUAACUGACAAGCCAGCUCCAGACCUCAAUUAAACUGAUUGAAAGAUUAUGUCUUCAUCAUAUGAAUAUCAGGUACAAUCCCUCCCGUUAGGGGUUUAGUAUCAUACUAUCAUAAAAUAUAUGAGAAGAACAUAACCCGUGUCAUGCCAACAACUGUUUUUUUUAGAAAUAAAUGUGUUUAGUUUCGAUGCAAAGACCCUAUCAGUGAAUCAAUGUUAAAGCCAAAAUAUGCAAUCUUUAAUGACCUGACAACAGUAUCGUAACUAUAUCCCCUUUUAAUAAGUCUAUUUAAAGGUUUUGAAAGUUUCUGAGGAGAAUACUGACAUUUUUGUGCUUUAUAAAGAAUAUUUCCAUAAAAUUUUGGAUGUGAAAUACCUGAACGUAUAAGAUGUCUGCAUGUUGAGUUAUAUUUACGAAUUAUUUCCU
rnacentral:lncRNA from 1 species